GAUGAAGAACGUAGCGAAAUGCGAUAAGUAAUGUGAAUUGCAGAAUUCAGUGAAUCAUCGAGUCUUUGAACGCACAUUGCGCCCCCUGGUAUUCCGGGGGGCAUGCCUGUCCGAGCGUCAUUGCUGCCCUCAAGCACGGCUUGUGUGUUGGGCCCCCGCCCCCCGGCUUCGGGGGGCGGGCCCGAAAGGCAGCGGCGGCACCGCGUCCGGUCCUCGAGCGUAUGGGGCUUCGUCACCCGCUCUGUAGGCCCGGCCGGCGCCCGCCGGCGACCCCAAUCAAUCUUUCCAGGUUGACCUCGGAUCAGGUAGGGAUACCCGCUGAACUUAAGCAUAUCAAUAACGAGGA
rnacentral:misc_RNA from 1 species